AGACUUUAAGUCUCCUGAAGGAACGUUGAAGACGACGACGUUGAUAGGCCGGGUGUGUAAGCGCAGCGAUGCGUUGAGCUAACCGGUACUAAUGAACCGUGAGGCUUAACCUUAC
rnacentral:rRNA from 1 species